UUCAGCUGUACUUCAUGCUUUUCUUCGUCCAUUUUUCCCAUGUGGAUUUUUGUCUUUUAGCGUCACCUGAAAGUUGACUACCUUCAUUUCCACUCUUACAGAAAAACCAAAGCAAGAUAAAAAUGUAAAAAAGGCUUCAAGAUCAAACCAUAAUCUGCUUCUCAGAACAUUUGGCUAACACAAGACUGGAGAGACGUUCAAGAGGGAGAGAGUUGGAGUGUGUUUGGCAAAGGUGAGGCGGAAAUUUCUCCAUUUCUGAAUAGGAGCUGCUUUACGAAGAGCUGGGCAGUGUGUUUCUGCAGCAGCCUUCCUGGAUUUGGGACUGAAGAAUGGUGCGUGCAUAAGGCCUGAUGAUGUUUAUUGAAAAUAGCUGUCAUGAAAUUUUGACAAAAUGCAGAGACUGACACAGACAUCUGUGGAAUGACCAGAAUCUUGCUCACAAGGAAGAACUAAAGGGAAAAUAAACAUCACUUUCAUUU